UAGCUUAGUCGGUAGAGCAUGAGACUCUUAAUCUCAGGGUCAUGGGUUUGAGCCCCAU
rnacentral:tRNA from 1 species